AUAUUAUUAAGCGGAGGAAAAGAAACUAACAAGGAUUCCCUUAGUAAUGGCGAAUGAAGAGGGAAGAGCUCAAGAUUGAAUCGGGUGUCUAAACGGGCACUUGAGUUGUAAUCUAAAGAGCGUGUGAUCAAUCACGUGUACCCGGGCUUAACUCCUUGGAAAAGGGGAUCAUGGAGGGUGAGAAUCCCGUCUAUGACUCGGUGUUCGCUGUGUUUUUGAGCAUACGUUCUAAGAGUCGACUAGGUUGGGAUUCCUGGUCAAAGCAGGUGGUAAAUGCCAUCUAAAGCUAAAUACCG
rnacentral:rRNA from 1 species